rnacentral:rRNA from 1 species
AUACGGAGGAUGCGAGCGUUAUCCGGAUUUAUUGGGUUUAAAGGGUGCGUAGGCGGUUUUUUAAGUCAGCGGUGAAACGCAAGGGCUCAACCCUUGACCUGCCGUUGAAACUGGAGGACUUGAAUGCGGAUGCUGUGGGAGGGAUGUGUGGGGUAGCGGUGAAAUGCAUAGAUAUCACACAGAACACCGAUUGCGAAGGCAUCUCACAAAUCCGUGAUUGACGCUGAGGCACGAAAGUGUGGGGAUCAAACAGGAUUAGAUACCCUGGUAGUCCACACUGUAAACGAUGAUGACUCGCUGUCGGCGAUAUACAGUCGGUGGCCAAGCGAAAGCGAUAAGUCAUCCACCUGGGGAGUACGACCGCAAGGUUGAAACUCAAAUGAAUUGGCGGGG